CAGUCGCCACGGUAAUACGGGGGGGGCAAGUGUUAUUCGGAAUGACUGGGCGUAAAGCGUGCGUAGGCGGCUCCUUAAGUCGGAUGUGAAAUCCCUGAGCUUAACUUAGGAAUUGCAUUCGAUACUGGGAAGCUAGAGUAUGGGAGAGGAUGGUAGAAUUCCAGGUGUAGCGGUGAAAUGCGUAGAGAUCUGGAGGAAUACCGAUGGCGAAGGCAGCCAUCUGGCCUAAUACUGACGCUGAGGUACGAAAGCAUGGGGAGCAAACAGGAUUAGAUACCCCCGUAGUCCCUGUCUCUUAUAA
rnacentral:rRNA from 1 species